UUGCAAUUAAACGCGAUGAAUAGUCCAUAUUCGUUUUCUCUUUAAACGUGAUCAUACGGUCCAGAUCAAAUCGCGAUGAGCGGUCUAUAUUCACUUCCUAUUUAAACGUAAUCGAACGGUUCAGAUCAAACACGAUGGACUAUCCAUAUUAAAAGGAGACGGAUAUAGAUACCACAUUUCACACCAAACCUUAACCCUAACCACCAUCACCCCCCCGCCAGAAAAGAACUAGUCGCC
rnacentral:lncRNA from 1 species